CUACGACUGCCAGGAGGAGGAGAUCCCCGAGCUGGAGAUUGACGUGGACGAGCUGCUGGACAUGGGCAGCGACGAUGCCCGGGGGGCCCGGGUCAAGGAGAUCCUGGUGGACUGCUACAAGCCCACGGAGGUGAGUGCCCCCCCACGCGGUGCCCCUCACUCCCGCCCCAGCAGCUCUUGCCCC